CCCCCCCCCCCCCCCCCCAAUCCUCUGCCUUCACCUCCACCCCAGCCAGUGGACGGGUUAACCUCUGUUCUGUUUCGCUACAACUCCUGCUUCUGCAACGCUAAUAAACAUUUCAGAGCUUGGACCUAGCUAUUCAGAAGAUUGUUCUUCGAGUCGUGAUCAUUACACUACGCCAUCAGGCUUACUUGUAACAGUACCACCAGGUACGGAACAAUUGGAGAUACUACAACCUUCUGCUCCUCCUCUGCCCUCUCCUCCAGCUUCAGCUUCCCUUCCGCACUUGUCACAUCAAUACUCACUUCAAGCACAUUCCCAAGCGACACAAAAUCAACAAAUAAAUAUGCAUGGAGGAAUUAAAUGAUAACGAUGAUAAUAAUAACGCUGAAAUAUCACAGUGAUUGAAAUGAUCGCACGAUGUUGCAUCGGAACAAUAACGCUGGAUUUCGGACUGUGGCGCCAAACCUGAGAUCCCAGGGCUUAACAACCCACUCUAUCUACGAAAUAUAACAUCUGUACACCUAUUCUAAUGAGAUUAUAACCACUUAGUGCUAAACAUCCCGUUAAACUUAUGCAUUCCUGACAACGUUGUCAAAGCACUCAACAGUCCCUGUAUCUUACGUCGAAAAAGAACUUGCUUGACAGUGAAUGAGAUAAUCGUCUUCAUUAUCACUGUUCUAUGAUAGUGUAGGUUUCUGCACUCGAAAUUCGACAAGUUUUAUUAUGGUAUCCAUGCUCUGGUUCGAUUCUGGAUUACAUCGUAUUCGUAAUUACUGUGGCUACUGGUAAUGCCGGAUGAUGUAGAAGCUGAAAGGACUGCAGCUAUGAAUCAAGAAAUGAAGUUGAUCAACGACUCUUGGAGGUCCUGGCAAAAAGGCUCCACUUUCCGAGGACGCAGGCGAGCAAAAGCAAAAUCUUCCAUUCCUCAUGCUCCUGCUGUAUCUGUUCCUGCACAUGGGUCUGCUCCUGUAAAAGUCCUUUUUGCUUUUGCCCUCUACCGGAGUCUGGAUGAUAAAGAUGGUGAUAGCCAGAGCCUGAGCUCCCCAACUCCUGCUGAAAAACUUAUUGAGACUUGCAAGCCAUGCAUCUGAUGGCGAGGAUGGCGCUCGCAAUAGUUGUCAGGUGGUCGAGGGCAACCACGCUAAUGGAGGAAACUCUGACACUGUAUGUUCUGAUUUGAAAAGUUCAGCUGCAGAGACAGGACGGGUGUUUCAAGAUUUAGAUUCAGAGGACAAAGCUGUUGCAAACGAUGUGAAGUAGGAUAAUUGUUCUUGUGAGGAAGUCAUAAUUUCUGGUAUUGCCGCCCGUCGGCCGAGACGAGCACGACACACAUAGCAACUAGGUGAUGAAACCGGUCAAACAGAGCUCUUUGCUUCACUAAAAUGAGGUAUUAUCGUCAAGGAAGUUGAAAAUGGGCUUGGUUGUUUCUGGAAAUUCUGAUUCGGAGAGAACAGUUGAGCGUAGAGGGUCACAAGCAGCUCACGUCAAGGAAUUUUCAGGUGAGAGCAGGUUGAAGCACAAGAAUUUAUCCCACAAUUCGCUUCCAACAAAACCCAGAAACUUUAAAGGUAGUUAUGAUCUUUCCAUCAAAAGGAAAUAUGGGGAAGCUUCAUCACAUCUUUGCCGUGAAAAGAAAGGUGAUUUAAAUACAUAUAUGGCAGGCAAAGACAGAAAUCAGUCCACAGCCAAGCAAAGCACCGAGGUUGGUGUAGGCGAAGGUCACUACAAGAUUAGUGCAAAGCGAGAAAAUGGAUGAAAACAGGUAUGAGAAUGAGAGAGUAAGAUAGAACGAAGAGAAAGGUAAGGUCAGAGAAAGCUUAAGAAAUAAGGGAGAUGUUCAUACUGCUCAGAAGAUCAGUGAGCAUGCAAGGAAAGCAUAUCAAGAAGAACGGAAAAAGAAAUAGAAGGAGAGAGAUAAACCCACAUCUGCUGAGUAUGACCGGCAGUGAGAGCAGCAGUGCUUCUGGAUGUCGCAGCAGUCAUCUUAGCCCUGUACGAAGUGAGACUCCAUGUCGAGGGUAAGAUUUGCAUGACUUUAUAUUAGUAAGAGCUUUGGUUGUGGAGGAUCCGAUUUCUUGGCUGUGUGUUUCGCAUCAGUAUUGUCCAACUGUUCUGUAACACUGCGCAAAAGCAACAGAAAGGGCGGUUAAGCAAGAAAACAAGCCAUUUCUUACCUCCAUUGAGACCUCAGAGGUGCGUUGCUGAUACACAGUUUCUAUUGACGACUUUUACGCAAAAAACGAAGACCUUUUUUUUUCUGGUUUGGUGAUAUCGUAUCAUGACUAGCAGGCUUUUUCGCACAUCUUGUGCUGAGGGGGCUACAGAAUGGUUGGGCUGUUUGCUAUUCUCGGUUGUCACAUCUUUUGCUGAUUAUUAUUUUCAUGGUACACGGAAUUUAUCUUCCGUCAUUGCUGUGAAACGGGUCGGUAGUGAUUGGUUGAUGACUAAAUAGCUCCACCAUUUGGUUUAUGAUUUUUUUCCAUUGGUUCGGUACUUCUUCACAUCAUCGUUGUGGCUCUUACGUAACGUCGAACGUUUUAAGAACAUUACGCACCGCAGUAUUGAGCGGUCAGAUCUUUCAUCUUGGGUAAGAGAAAUGACUGCUUCCUGUGUAGACCGCCUGCAAAGCACCUCUCGUGUAUGUCUAGGGAGUCGUUAUAAUAUAUAUAUCAAUGGUUGAUUCAAAUGCCACAAUAGCGCGACGUGUGAUUGGCUUGAGCGUAGUAUUGGCACCGAUGAAGAGCAUAUUUUGACGCUGAUUCACAUCCAAUUCAGUAGUUGGCAGGGAGUGUUACAAUUAAGGUCGAUCUUUUGAUGUAGCGUGAGUCCUCUUACUGCUUCUAGUUGCUCAUUUUGCAGAUUAGAUUUGCGUUUUAACGAAACCAGCAGUUUCCAACGUUGAUAGUUGCCUCUAGGAUUGUGUCUAUGAAGCUGGUAAUGUCACGAUUUCCUUGCAAGGUAUUUGCAGUCUUAAGUGUGAGUGCACAACGAUCUAUUGCAAUGUAGGAGGAACAAACAUUUUACGAUGCCAGAUCUAGGUUAUUCGCAGAAAGGAAUGACUUUUCAAAGAUUUAUCGACUUCCUCUGUGAAACCCAGCAUCUAUAAACAAUUGACACGCUUCCAAGGUGUUAGUCAGUGAUAUGUUUCAACAAAGUAUGAUGCUCUGAUGCUUUGUGCCGCACCCACCUUAUUUUAACAUCAACAGUACUAGAAUGGGACUUACACAGACUGGGAGAUGUUCACCCCAUCGUAAUGUAUGGGUAUCGUUGGACAUUUUAGUACAUACUGCUGUUUCUUAGUUCCUGUUGUGCAGGUGCCGUUUCGAGAGCAGGUUGAUAAACUGCUCGCAAAUCACGAGGGUCAACUCAGUAUGAAGAUAAAGUUUGAUUGCGGUUUUACUCACAUGGCAAGUGAUGAUCAUGUGUUUAAUAUCUUCGCACUCUCCUACACGCUCUGUGCCACAUAGCAAGGUUUCACACCGCAGGAAUUCCCCUUCUCUUCCCGUGAGAAGGUACAAUGCGCCACCCCCUUGAACACAACUUUUUGGGUGUCUCCUUUUAUAUGACAUCAUGCAGCCUCUGCUUUGCUACCUAUGAUCAAGUUGAAAUUUUUACGUUCUAGAUUGUCCGCGGAGGAAUCUGGUGGAGACAAUGUACUGGUCUGCACGUGAAACUUUCAACCUCUUCAAUGUGCAGAUCAUGAUCCACCCCGUGUACACUGCGGUUGGUUAAAAAGGUUUUCAUUUAGGUGACGAAAAUUUAAUCUAGUACAUCCUGAAUUUGUUCGUGUUACUGGAAGGUGUUUGAUGUAAUGCCUACUAGAAUUUCAGGAAAACUUUCCUUCUGAACUUUCUCUUGUUUUUGUAAAUCGGAUGUUUAAAAAGUUAAGGAUGGGUUACUUUUAUCUCUGGGA